GAGAAGCAAUGCGGCGACGCAAAGCGGAACUUGAAAGCCUGUCUCAGUUCGGAUUGGAGUCUGCAACUCGACUCCAUGAAGCUGGAUUCGCUAGUAAUCGCGCAUCAGCCAUGGCGCGGUGAAUACGUUCCCGGGCCUUGUACACACCGCCCGUCACACCAUGAGAGUCGGGAACACCCGAAGUCCGUAGUCUAACCGCAAGGGGGCGCGGCCGAAGGUGGGUCCGGUAAUUGGGGUGAAGUCGUAACAAGGUAUC
rnacentral:rRNA from 1 species